rnacentral:rRNA from 1 species
GGGACACGUGGUAUCCUGUCUGAAUAUGGGGGGACCAUCCUCCAAGGCUAAAUACUCCUGACUGACCGAUAGUGAACCAGUACCGUGAGGGAAAGGCGAAAAGAACCCCGGCGAGGGGAGUGAAAAAGAACCUGAAACCGUGUACGUACAAGCAGUGGGAGCCUCUUUUAUGGGGUGACUGCGUACCUUUUGUAUAAUGGGUCAGCGACUUAUAUUCUGUAGCAAGGUUAACCGAAUAGGGGAGCCGAAGGGAAACCGAGUCUUAACUGGGCGUUAAGUUGCAGGGUAUAGACCCGAAACCCGGUGAUCUAGCCAUGGGCAGGUUGAAGGUUGGGUAACACUAACUGGAGGACCGAACCGACUAAUGUUGAAAAAUUAGCGGAUGACUUGUGGCUGGGGGUGAAAGGCCAAUCAAACCGGGAGAUAGCUGGUUCUCCCCGAAAGCUAUUUAGGUAGCGCCUCGUGAAUUCAUCUCCGGGGGUAGAGCACUGUUUCGGCUAGGGGGUCAUCCCGACUUACCAACCCGAUGCAAACUGCGAAUACCGGAGAAUGUUAUCACGGGAGACACACGGCGGGUGCUAACGUCCGUCGUGAAGAGGGAAACAACCCAGACCGCCAGCUAAGGUCCCAAAGUCAUGGUUAAGUGGGAAACGAUGUGGGAAGGCUCAGACAGCCAGGAUGUUGGCUUAGAAGCAGCCAUCAUUUAAAGAAAGCGUAAUAGCUCACUGGUCGAGUCGGCCUGCGCGGAAGAUGUAACGGGGCUAAACCAUGCA